GGCUGAGAGCUACAGACUUGAAAUUUUUGGGGCUCUAUCAGCUGGGAGAAGACAUGGAUUUUUACAGGCACGGGAAAUCCUUUCCACCAGCAGUCUAGACUUCCUCUAACUUGUCCUGAGGUUAAGAGUGGCUGCUUCACGACUGGGAUUGGUCAUUUGGCUCUGGAGAUCAGCUUUCUGGUUCUCUUAAAGGGACCAGCUGUCUUCUAUGCAGUUAUGUCUGCACACUACUUACUUUCAAUGCCUGAAGAAGCCAGUAGAGUGUCUGAUCUCCUGGAGCUCCAGUUACACUUAUAAGCCACCAUAUGGGUGCUGGGUACUGAUCCAGAGUCUUCUGGAGAGCAGCCAGUGCCCUCAACCACCAAGCUAGCUCUCCAGCUCCUAUACUCUCUAAAUAAAAAGAAACUUCCUUUCGGGAUGAAGAAAGAAAACUUUUGACCUCUUCCUAAAAUGAAGAUGUUUUCCCCCAUUAUUAGUUAGAAUACAUUACAUUUUAAACUUGGCAAAGGAAUAAUCCAAGAGGGAUUUUCUGGAACAGCGUAAGUAAGUGAUGAUGGGGCCAAGGGAAUGCUAGGACUUCAAGACUAUAUAUAACCACAGCCGAUGUGCUGAAACCACUUUGAGUAGCCUCGGUGACACCUGGGAUGUGUGUGCCUUUGGAUAAAAGUUGUGGCGAAGUUGUUUACUCAACUGAAUUCCCUGAGCCUUGAAGGGCAAAACAUGCUCAUUGCAGAAAUUUUUUAUCCAGAACCUGAAGAAGAAAAUUCUAAGGAACAACUUUACUCCAUUACAUAAGAACUCGCUCUUAGUACUAACACUUUGGAUAAAAAUGCCUUCUCCGAACUUUGCAGGAGAAACUCAGGACCACUAGCCUAUCACAAAUAGAAUCAUGGAUUGCAAAAGAGAUCUUUGAUUUAGGGAAGAAUUCUGAUUAGAAGUUUCUCUUUGGGAUUCUUUAGUUCUGUUUUAAAACCAUGUAACAGAGCCCAAACAGCCUUCCAAAAACAACAACAAUAUAACAGAGCUAUACAACAGUUGCACUGGGAAGUGUAGAUACUGUUUUCUGGGAUGUGUCUGACUCUGGGAUGCUUGCUAAACAAGGAACAUGGAUAGCUCAGUAACUCUUGUUGCGGACAUAGGUAAGAGGCUACAGGACUAUGUGCCCCUCCCUGUUUGAUGUCUUACCUCAGUCAUUCGGUUUAUAUCAAUGUUUUGCAUCUGAAAUUCAGUAUCUCAAUGCCAUGUGCUCAUUUAGCCAGCAUCACUGUUUCGAAUUUGUUCACCAUGCACUACCAUGUGCUUUGCAAAAGCGAUUCUUAGAGCAAUGGGAAGAAAUUGAAUGGUGUGUUCAAACAUUUGCAAGAGUCCUUGUAAAUACUUCUAAACAUCAAACAUAAACUCUUCUCGCAUCUUGGGCAUCCAGACAAUUACCCAGAACAAAGAAGAUUCCUAAUGUUUGAGGGAUAAACAGAUUACUAGUAAAGAAGAGCUGUGCUCCUUGAUAGAAUAAGGUGGGUAAACUGAAUAGCGUGGAUCUGGAGGAGACCACAUUUCUGUGGCUGCAGGAAGUCCGGGACCAAGGGAGAACAUGCUUCAUUGGCUUCCAAUCUUCUGUGCUGAUUACUGUCCCAGCACAUCACACCUCUAGGAACUGAUCGCUCCAGGUCAAGCUGAUGUUUGGCUGUUCUUGACCUAAGCAUACACUUCCCUUACCUGAAGAAAUGAAUGGUUCACCAGCACAGCUUAAAGAGGGCACUUUCUGUUAUUGAGCAACACUUCAGCAUGGAGUGAACUGAUUUAUUUAUACUUUGACAGCAAUCAAUCGACAAUUAUUUUUCUAAACAAGGUUUGAGAGAUAUAUUUUAGAGUGUCUUUCUAAAAACAAGUGUUUCCAAGCUUCAUAACUCAUGCUGCAUGGGCUUGUGGGAGUCACGAAGACUCAUAAAGGGAUACCCUAUGGGAUGGUGGAAGUCAUGAGGGUUGUUGCUAAGGGCAGAGCCCCAAAGCUUUGGUUACAUUGUACCUGCUUGUCCUUGUGUUUUAAAAAGUUUUAACCCUCAAUUUAAUAAAAGCCAAAUGAUAUGUUAAAAGGUAUCAAACCUUACUAGACCUGGAUGGAGGUGGGUGGUUCUUGGACUUCCCACAG